rnacentral:rRNA from 1 species
UCCCGACGGCCCAAGUGGGACUCGCAAUUAUUGGGUCUAAAACAUUCGUAGCUGGUUUUAUAAGUUUCUUGUUAAAUUGCAAGGCUCAACCUUGUAGCUGCAAGAAAUACUAUAAGGCUAGGGACUGGGAGAUGUAACGAGUAUAUUCGGGGUAAUGGUAAAAUAUGUUAAUCCUGGAUAGACUAACAAUGGCGAAGGCACGUUACAAUAACAGAUCCGACGGUGAGGAAUGAAGGCCAGGGGCG